rnacentral:rRNA from 1 species
UUUAAUGAGAGUUUGAUCCUGGCUCAGGACGAACGCUGGCGGCGUGCCUAAUACAUGCAAGUAGAACGCUGAAGGAGGAGCUUGCUUCUCUGGAUGAGUUGCGAACGGGUGAGUAACGCGUAGGUAACCUGCCUGGUAGCGGGGGAUAACUAUUGGAAACGAUAGCUAAUACCGCAUAAGAGUGGAUGUUGCAUGACAUUUGCUUAAAAGGUGCACUUGCAUCACUACCAGAUGGACCUGCGUUGUAUUAGCUAGUUGGUGGGGUAACGGCUCACCAAGGCGACGAUACAUAGCCGACCUGAGAGGGUGAUCGGCCACACUGGGACUGAGACACGGCCCAGACUCCUACGGGAGGCAGCAGUAGGGAAUCUUCGGCAAUGGACGGAAGUCUGACCGAGCAACGCCGCGUGAGUGAAGAAGGUUUUCGGAUCGUAAAGCUCUGUUGUAAGAGAAGAACGAGUGUGAGAGUGGAAAGUUCACACUGUGACGGUAUCUUACCAGAAAGGGACGGCUAACUACGUGCCAGCAGCCGCGGUAAUACGUAGGUCCCGAGCGUUGUCCGGAUUUAUUGGGCGUAAAGCGAGCGCAGGCGGUUAGAUAAGUCUGAAGUUAAAGGCUGUGGCUUAACCAUAGUAGGCUUUGGAAACUGUUUAACUUGAGUGCAAGAGGGGAGAGUGGAAUUCCAUGUGUAGCGGUGAAAUGCGUAGAUAUAUGGAGGAACACCGGUGGCGAAAGCGGCUCUCUGGCUUGUAACUGACGCUGAGGCUCGAAAGCGUGGGGAGCAAACAGGAUUAGAUACCCUGGUAGUCCACGCUGUAAACGAUGAGUGCUAGGUGUUAGACCCUUUCCGGGGUUUAGUGCCGUAGCUAACGCAUUAAGCACUCCGCCUGGGGAGUACGACCGCAAGGUUGAAACUCAAAGGAAUUGACGGGGGCCCGCACAAGCGGUGGAGCAUGUGGUUUAAUUCGAAGCAACGCGAAGAACCUUACCAGGUCUUGACAUCCCUCUGACCGCUCUAGAGAUAGAGCUUUCCUUCGGGACAGAGGUGACAGGUGGUGCAUGGUUGUCGUCAGCUCGUGUCGUGAGAUGUUGGGUUAAGUUCCGCAACGAGCGCAACCCCUAUUGUUAGUUGCCAUCAUUUAGUUGGGCACUCUAGCGAGACUGCCGGUAAUAAACCGGAGGAAGGUGGGGAUGACGUCAAAUCAUCAUGCCCCUUAUGACCUGGGCUACACACGUGCUACAAUGGCUGGUACAACGAGUCGCAAGCCGGUGACGGCAAGCUAAUCUCUUAAAGCCAGUCUCAGUUCGGAUUGUAGGCUGCAACUCGCCUACAUGAAGUCGGAAUCGCUAGUAAUCGCGGAUCAGCACGCCGCGGUGAAUACGUUCCCGGGCCUUGUACACACCGCCCGUCACACCACGAGAGUUUGUAACACCCGAAGUCGGUGAGGUAACCGUAAGGAGCCAGCCGCCUAAGGUGGGAUAGAUGAUUGGGGUGAAGUCGUAACAAGGUAGCCGUAUCGGAAGGUGCGGCUGGAUCACCUCCUUU